UAAGGCGGGUCUUGGGGUGAUGGAAGGGUGGUAGCCACGGGAAGCGGUGCAUGACCUGAUUUUCUUUGCCUUCCAGAGCGAAUAUCUGUCUGGGAUGCAGUGUCCGUCUAUAUCCAAGAACAUCUCCAGCUGCGCCAGGGUGUCCGAAUUCCUGCCCUUGGCUCCUUCGACAUUGUCCCCAGAUGGGUCAAGGACGGGAACGAGACUGUGAUUUUCCUGAUGCCCACGUUCCGCCUGGCCAGGAAUCUUGUCAUCACCCACAACCUCACGGACGACAAGGAGUACCUGCCAGGCCAUAAGGAGCUGGAGCCCCUCAAAGUGGCUGAGGUGGCCGCCAACGCCUGCAUGUCCCAGCAGAGA
rnacentral:lncRNA from 1 species